rnacentral:rRNA from 1 species
GUUAAGCGACUAAGCGUACACGGUGGAUGCCCUGGCAGUCAGAGGCGAUGAAGGACGUGCUAAUCUGCGAUAAGCGUCGGUAAGGUGAUAUGAACCGUUAUAACCGGCGAUUUCCGAAUGGGGAAACCCAGUGUGAUUCGUCACACUAUCAUUAACUGAAUCCAUAGGUUAAUGAGGCGAACCGGGGGAACUGAAACAUCUAAGUACCCCGAGGAAAAGAAAUCAACCGAGAUUCCCCCAGUAGCGGCGAGCGAACGGGGAGCAGCCCAGAGCCUGAAUCAGUGUGUGUGUUAGUGGAAGCGUCUGGAAAGGCGUGCGAUACAGGGUGACAGCCCCGUACACAAAAAUGCACAUACUGUGAGCUCGAUGAGUAGGGCGGGACACGUGGUAUCCUGUCUGAAUAUGGGGGGACCAUCCUCCAAGGCUAAAUACUCCUGACUGACCGAUAGUGAACCAGUACCGUGAGGGAAAGGCGAAAAGAACCCCGGCGAGGGGAGUGAAAAAGAACCUGAAACCGUGUACGUACAAGCAGUGGGAGCACGCUUAGGCGUGUGACUGCGUACCUUUUGUAUAAUGGGUCAGCGACUUAUAUUCUGUAGCAAGGUUAACCGAAUAGGGGAGCCGAAGGGAAACCGAGUCUUAACUGGGCGUUAAGUUGCAGGGUAUAGACCCGAAACCCGGUGAUCUAGCCAUGGGCAGGUUGAAGGUUGGGUAACACUAACUGGAGGACCGAACCGACUAAUGUUGAAAAAUUAGCGGAUGACUUGUGGCUGGGGGUGAAAGGCCAAUCAAACCGGGAGAUAGCUGGUUCUCCCCGAAAGCUAUUUAGGUAGC